GACGAACGCUGGCGGCGUGCUUAACACAUGCAAGUCGAACGGAAAGGCCCGGCGUUUGUGGGGUGCUCGAGUGGCGAACGGGUGAGUAACACGUGAGUAACCUCCCCUUGACUGUGGGAUAACUUCAGGAAACUGGGGCUAAUACCGGAUAGGAGCUCCUGCUGCAUGGUGGGGGUUGGAAAGUUUCGGCGGUUGGGGAUGGACUCGCGGCUUAUCAGCUUGUUGGUGGGGUAGUGGCUUACCAAGGCUUUGACGGGUAGCCGGCCUGAGAGGGUGACCGGCCACAUUGGGACUGAGAUACGGCCCAGACGCCUACGGGCGGCAGCAGGGGGGAAUCUUGCACAAUGGGCGGACGCCUGAUGCAGCAACGCCGCGUGCGGGAUGACGGCCUUCGGGUUGUAAACCGAUUUCGCCGGUGCCGAAGCGUGAGUGACGGUAAUUGGUCAAGAAGCAACGGCUAACUACGUG
rnacentral:rRNA from 1 species